UGUACAUUCGGUCCGAGCAUAAGCAACCGAAACCAAGUUCGGUCCAAUAUCGUUGAUGCAAAAACCAUGUUCGGUCCAAAAUCCAACAUCAUGACAAGCGAAACCUUAGCCAAACCGAAUCACAGGUUCACUUUCGGUUCAUCUCCUCUUUUGGUCCAAGCAUAAACACGCGAACCCAAGUUCGUUGUUCGAGGUUCGCUCCUAAUUCAUCAGCAUUACCCCAAGGCGAAUCUCCAUUCUUUCGUUCCAAGAGCUACCAACCGAACUCAAGUUCGUUCCAGGUUUGCUUCCGAAUGAAGAAAGGAGUUCCAAUUCCGAGUCCAUUCAUCAUAAUAAUUCUGAUAUCUAGUACCAAGAUCGAUAUUGGUUCAAAUUCUGAGAUCGGAAUCACCGUUGGAAACAAAAUCAACAUGAGAAUGCGAUGUGGUUUUAAAGAUUGUUGGUGAUUCUUCUUAACUUUACGAAUUCUCUCCAUGGUAUUUGUUAAAGAUUCAAGGGGCAGUGAUGAUUAUUCAAAGGGGAGUUCGUAUUUGGAAGAUUAUUUCUAAUUCUCUCGCUUUGAAGACCCCAUGUGCUGGUAAGUGUCACAAUUUAGCGGGAGAAAUGCCAAGAAGAUCGGAAAUCGUGAUCUUCAACAGUUUCAACAUCUAGGGGGAGAUUGUUGAGUAUUUGAGAUAUUGAAACUGAUAUGGCAUAUUUGGUUAUUUAGGGAAGCCUUUUUAGGGUUAAUCAUUUUAUGAUUCCCUACGGUGCAUUUACAGUAGAAGUUCUUAAUCGAGCUCUGCUAAGGCAUUGGUUUUAUAUUAGGCAUUUAUUUUAUAUUUAUGGUAGAUAUUUAUUGUUCCCUAUAAAUAAUCAUUAGGUUAUCUUUUGGUGUAAGCUUUUGACCAGAUUAGGGUUUUCUCUGUACGCUCAUCUCAUAAUCAAUACAUGAAAAACCUUUAUCA